CAGCACCCUUCGUCCCCUUCACGGCCUCCACAACACCGACCAAAAUCCAACAUCUUAUACUGAAUCGAGAGCUAGGGUUCCCAUUCGAGAAUUCCUAGAAAAAUCAACCGAUGCACGAACUCGGCCAGCGCCGGUGGCACCUUCCUCCAACGCCGAAUCCUCCUCCAUAGAGACUCCUCCCCCGCGACCUGGCACCGGCUCCUCCCCCAUCCCCUCUCAUCCCCUCGGGAAGCUUCAGGAAAGUUGGCCGCCUCCGAUUGGAUGGAGGAGGUGCCGUGGCUGACGCCGGCCGUGGUUGUGGCGAUGAGGAAGCUCACCGUUGGGUCGGCGACGUACAAGUUGGUGUUACAGGUGGCGAAGAGCGUGGACCCGGCGGCGGGGGCAGUAGGCGGAGCAGUUCCGCGUGCUUCUCUCCAACGGCGUCCCCUCAUGAUGCUCUCAGAGUCCCAGCAGUCCAUGCUCCCCACCGCCAUCAACCACCUCAUCAGCGACGCGACCCUCCACUUUGGCUUUGUCGUCCACCUCUAGGACGUCACCUGCAAGAACAACAACAUCCAGCACCGCAGGUUCGUCAACCGACCAGGAUAUAUUAGCAGAUGUUGGUCCUGAUCUCCUUGGAUGCUUUGCUCCGCUUAGCAAGAAUUCGUUUGUGUGCCUUAGGAGCUAGCGAUUUCAGCAAAAAUUGUAUGCUGCGAUAGUUUUUAAGAUGCAGGCAGGUGCAGAUACUGGGGUGUUCACGCAACUUGGGGGUUUCGACUUGUGUUUAUUUGAAGUUAAUGAUAUCCUGCCGUAGAUUCAUUGUUGGUUUCCACAAAUAGGCCAAUUGACAGUGAAACUCGAAUUUUGUGUUGGAUUAGUGGGUAUUAACAAUCCUCAAAAAAUUUGUUGUUCAACUCAUAAGCAAUUAAGCAUUAAAAUUUUGUGAAUUAAUUGGUAAUUUAAUUUUCUAAGAUGUGCCUUUUCUCUAUAUGUCUGAUAGACUCGAAUUUAGGAUCACUGGAUGAGAUUUCAUUAUAGUUAAUGAACAAAUUUCAGUGGUGGAAUUUAGCACCAGUAGAUGAAGAAUUUCAGUUCACUUCAUGAAGAAAUUCCAGUGGCGUAAACAGCUAGGAAUUCAUUCGAGUGGUUUUCUUUUUUUUUUUACUUGUUGCACAAACUGUGCUCUUUUUCAACGAGCUAGCAUGGCAUCCGUUCACGCAUCUGUUCUCAUGAAAAUAUUUGUCUAGCUCUGAAAUCCAUUAAAUUCACUAAAAAAAUCUUUUGUGUAAAUGAAUUUUGUGUUUCUUAUUGUGAAAGUAAUAUCCAGGCAUGUCUGAACUUGGAGCAUAAGAGCUAACAUCACCCCUGUAGUCCUAGAGAAGUCCCGCUCUUCAGAAAUCAGUUUUAACUUGCUUUUCUAUUGGUGAUCUUUUUUUACUAUUGGACCUUCAGUGAAAUUGUGAUGUGAAAUUUCUCUAUGUUCUAAUCAUCCGAAAGUAACAUGGCAUGUGUCCACAUAGUUGUUCUCAUGACACUAUUUGUCUGGCUCUGACAUCCAUUAUAUUCACCUCUCGAUACCGAGAUGAUCAUGUAGAAGACGGACGAGUAGAUAAAGAAAGAGCCAGAGUUUAAGGCUAUAGCCAGGAAGGCAUACAUAAUCGCAGUGUCUUGCUUGGACAAGCAAAAUGUACCGCUGCCAGUUGUGAUGCAGCUCUUGGAUAUGGACGAGAUACUGGAAAUAAUACAUGUUGAUCCACUAUUUCUUUUACUUUUUUUCUUGACCUCUAAGGACAUCUUUUCAUAAUUGCCUAGAUUGAUUUUUUAUGGGCUUAUCUAGAUUGUUAUUAUUCGCUCAGAUUAAUAUGGUUGAGGUGUUGGCUUUUCACCACCUUGGUUCUCAUGUGUAAGU